rnacentral:rRNA from 1 species
AUGGAUUCUAACAUUAAAAUCAAUGGUACGGAAAAGGAAAACGUUGCGAGCCGACAGACCGGCCAAGCUUUCGGCCAGCUCGCGAGCCAUGCUGGCAGCUCCAACCCCCACGAAACAAACCCCCGCAUAAGACAUGUGUACGCGGUGGACCUCACACAACCGCCCCCUACUCCUAUCCUUAUCCUUUCCCUGGACUUUCCUUUUGGCUUUUCUUCAAUCUCCAGCCGCGGCAUCCUCUGCUCUCCAGAACCACGAUUUUCUCUCCUCUACGCUGCUCAUGAACCAACACAAGCUCCCCUCACCGGCGGCCAUUGUUUGUCGCAACCAGUAGCUGCUAGCGGGGGAGACCGGGGGAGGGGAGGGGGGGCUCUGGAUAUGCUGGAACCAGAGUCCACGGCUCCACGCGUGCUGCAACCAGCACGGCCGGCGGUGAAGACGACGAGCUCCGAUGCUGCAACUAGAGAUUUUUAUUGCUGGAACCAGACGGCAAAAAAGCUGCAACCACUUUUGGCAGAUUUUUUGCUGCAUGGGCAGGUGAGAGUUCUUGCUAUGACCGGCGGCGGCGAUGUGCUUUUGCUGGAAACAUGGAUAUUUUUUGCUACAACCCACAUGGAACACGAUGGUCUGAGCGGACGACGGCGACGAGCGGAGGCGGUGAUGCGUGGAGAUGAUGCAACCACAAUGGGUGCGAGCUGGAACAGGCCGGUGGGUGAGUUGCAGUCACCCACCGGGGACGAGCGCGGUCGACACGGGUGGCCGGCGAGCAGGAGCGGCAAAACGGCGGGCAUGGGUGGCUUGGGGUCGCCGGCGAGCGUGGGUUGCAAGGGGGACGAACGCGGCAGCCGGCGAACACAGGGGAUUUCUUUUUGUUUCCAAAUCACGCGCUUUGACAGAAGGGAGGAAGGAGAAGGACCCGGAUCUGACGGUCGUAACAGAGCAAAUCGGACGAUAGGGCAGCGACCGGCCCAAAUUUGGGCCGGCGCACCGGCCCCUAUCAUUGCCCUACGGAAAAAAGCAUGGGUUGGUCAAAUUCCGAAUUGGUCUAAGUCGUCCAUCUUGUUUAGUGCUCAUGUUAAUCAAACGGUCAUUGCUGGUAUUAAUAGCAUUUUCCCUGUUCCUUCCAUGGACGACAAUUUUAUUCAUUUGGACCACCCUUUAAUUCUUCCUGCCAAAAAUAGAGUUGCUGCUUACAACUUUGUCCUUAAUAGAUUCAUGGCCAAACUUCCAACCUAUAAGGCUAAUAUGCUUUCUCAUGCAGCUAGAACUUUUUGGUGGACAAGAAUUAAAGAGGACAAUUCUUCGAAAGGUCUUUGCCUUAGGGCAUGGAAGGAUAUAUGUACUUCUAAGAAGGAGGGAUGUUUGGGUAUAAGAAAUCUUCAAGCCAUGAACCAAGGUCUUAUUCUUGCCUCUGCGUGGAGACUUGCUAAUGCUCCCAACUCACAUUUGUCUCUUGUUCUCAAGUCUAAGUAUUUUCUGGAUACUUCCAUAUGGACUGCUACUUCUAGCCCUCCAAAACCAGCUUUCUGGUCAUCCAUUCUUAGAAUGCUACCUAAACUCAAAGCUCAUUGCUUAUACCACAUCACCCAAGGGAACAUUUCCAUUUUGGAGUACCCCUUGGUGCUCGGCUUGGGCCAAUAUUCAUGA